CUUCACGAAACGUCAAACUAACAGCUAACUUAAUUUACUGAUAAACGUGGAAAUAAUACUUUUCGAGUCAGUGUCAAAGAAGGAAAAUUAUGCCAAGGGAUAGAAUAGAUGGAAAACACAAAGUCAAGUCAUUGUUGCCGAACCACCGCAGAGUGGUAUACGGAGGUCUAGUAAGCUGCUUUAUCUGGGAUGGAUCACUGUCAUCAUUACCAUGCAAUCUUGGCAGCCACCGCACUCAGGCGGCUCAUUCAUUUACUCCUAAUUGGGGAUCCAAGGUGGGUGCCAGCUGUGGAGAUGCAGAGUACUGGGGGUUUUUUUUGAUGUGCAUCAAUAAACACUCCCUCAUACAAUAUUGCAAACUAACAGAAACCAGAACGUGAUGCUGCUUUCUAUGCCAGUGAUCAUUACUGUAAGUUCACUAGAGCCUCUCCAGA